rnacentral:rRNA from 1 species
GAUGAACGCUAGCGGCAGGCCUAACACAUGCAAGUCGAGGGGGAAGUUACUUUCGGGUAACUGAGACCGGCGUACGGGUGCGUAACGCGUAUACAAUCUGCCUUUCACUGGGGGAUAGCCCGAAGAAAUUUGGAUUAAUACCCCAUAGUAUAGUAGUGUGGCAUCACACAACUAUUAAAGCUUAGGUGGUGAAAGAUGAGUAUGCGUUCUAUUAGCUAGUUGGAGAGGUAACGGCUCCCCAAGGCGAUGAUAGAUAGGGGUUCUGAGAGGGAUGUCCCCCACACUGGUACUGAGAUACGGACCAGACUCCUACGGGAGGCAGCAGUGAGGAAUAUUGGACAAUGGUCGGAAGACUGAUCCAGCCAUGCCGCGUGCAGGAUGAAGGUCUUAUGGAUUGUAAACUGCUUUUGUAAGGGAAGAAUAAGAGCUACGCGUAGUUUGAUGACGGUACCUUAUGAAUAAGCAUCGGCUAACUCCGUGCCAGCAGCCGCGGUAAUACGGAGGAUGCGAGCGUUAUCCGGAAUCAUUGGGUUUAAAGGGUCUGUAGGCGGGCUGGUAAGUCAGAGGUGAAAGCGCUCAGCUCAACUGAGCAACUGCCUUUGAAACUGUUGGUCUUGAAUGGUUGUGAAGUAGUUGGAAUGUGUAGUGUAGCGGUGAAAUGCUUAGAUAUUACACAGAACACCGAUAGCGAAGGCAUAUUACUAACAAUUAAUUGACGCUGAUGGACGAAAGCGUGGGGAGCGAACAGG